AGCUCGUAGUUGGAUUUCUGUUGAGGACGGCCGGUCCGCACUAUGUGCGUGUAUCUGGUUCGGCCUUGGCAUCCUCUUGAGGAACGUUCCUGCGCUUGAUUGCGUGGGGCGGUAUUCAAGACUUUUACUUUGAGGAAAUUAGAGUGUUCACGGCAGGCAAGCGCCUUGAAUACAUUAGCAUGGAAUAAUAAUAUAGGAUCUUGGUUCUAUUUGUUGGUUUCUAGGGCUAAGGUAAUGAUUAAUAGGGAUAAUUGGGGGCAUUUGUAUUAACGCGUCAGAGGUGGAAUUCUUGGAUUGCGUUACGACAAACUACUGCGAAAGCAUUUGCCAAGGAUGUUUUCAUUGAUCAAGAACGAAAGUAUGGGGAUCGAAGAUGAUUAGAUACCGUCGUAGUCUAUACCAUAAACUAUGCCGACUAGGGAUUGGAGGUCGUUCUUUUUAUGACUCCUUCAGCACCUUAUGAGAAAUCAAAGUCUUUGGGUUCCGGGGGGAGUAUAGUCGCAAGGCUGAAACUUAAAGGAAUUGACGGAAGGGCACCACCAGGAGUGGAGCCUGCGGCUUAAUUUGA
rnacentral:rRNA from 1 species